rnacentral:misc_RNA from 1 species
GUUUGAACAUCAGAGGCUGUCAGAAAAGUUGCAGGAGAUUCCCAUUCUAGAGUAAAAGUGGGAGAUGAUUACUAUAGACUUCGUGAUUGGAUUGCCUCAUACCACACGAGGACAUGAUUCUAUAUGGGUAAUUGUGGAUCGUCUAACUAGGUCAGCUCACUUUUUACCUGUGCAGACCACCUAUUCUAUUGCCCAAUGCACCAGGCUCUAUAUUCGUGAAAUGGUCAGAUCACAUGGAAUUUCUGCAUCCAUAAUAUCUGACAGGGGGCCCUAGUUCACUUCUCAGUUCCGAAGGAAGCUACAAGAGGC